rnacentral:rRNA from 1 species
AACGUAGGAGACAAACGUUAUCCGGAGUUACUGGGCGUAAAGGGCGUGUAGGCGGUCGACUAAGUCUGGCGUGAAAGCUCGCGGCUAAACCGCGAGAGGUCGUUGGAUACUGGUUGACUAGAGGACGGUAGAGGCGUGUGGAAUUCCGGGUGUAGUGGUGAAAUGCGUAGAGAUCCGGAGGAACACCAGUGGCGAAGGCGACACGCUGGGCCGUACCUGACGCUAAGGCGCGAAAGCUAGGGGAGCAAACAGG